rnacentral:rRNA from 1 species
UACGUAGGGUGCAAGCGUUAAUCGGAAUUACUGGGCGUAAAGCGUGCGCAGGCGGUGAUGUAAGUCAGAUGUGAAAUCCCCGGGCUUAACCUGGGAACUGCAUUUGUGACUGCAUCGCUGGAGUACGGCAGAGGGGGAUGGAAUUCCGCGUGUAGCAGUGAAAUGCGUAGAUAUGCGGAGGAACACCGAUGGCGAAGGCAAUCCCCUGGGCCUGUACUGACGCUCAUGCACGAAAGCGUGGGGAGCAAACAGG